UCUUCCGGGCUCUUGAGGCAAAGGCAAUGGACUUUGGGAAAUAUAAGGGGAGCGAAAAGACAUUCUGAUAAUCCAUCACUUAGGGAACAAAGGGGACAGCACCCUCUGAGUUUGUGAAAGUUGGAUCUUUUAGCCUGGAGGGCUAGAGAUGCUGGUAUCCUGAUACCAAGAAGAGAGGACGUCACAGAAUGGAGUGUAUGUACAGUCUGAAUACGGUGCCAAGGAAGCAACUGAGACCCCACCUCCACACACAGGAGGAGGUCAUCCCCAAGCAGUAACCCCACAAGGAGGAGAGAGCUUCAGAAUUGAAUCCAGAAUGGAGGAAAGAAAUGCACUGUCACAUCAGAUCUAGAGGCAUCGA